GCAAGCUGGAGAGAUUAUGUCUCUCAGCUGGUUUUGGAACGCCUCAGUAUCUUCCUUAAAUUGUUGGUAAAUGGGGAGAGAAAUUUCUUGGCUGAUAUAGAGUCACUAGUUAAAUCUGAUUUUUGCCCAGGAUAAAGCUUUAAAAGCUUAUACCGCCUCCAUGCAUUGUGACGUACCUCCAACUAUCUCCAUGGGAGUCCUUGCUUACUUUUACUGACAAUAGUCUGACAUGGGAGGGUCGUCAGGUAAUGCAGCUCACCUGGGCAGGCUUUAAAAGCUGGUUCGCUGGGCAUGAAGUGCAUUUGAUGUUUGUUACUUUAGUUUCAAUAAACUACCUCUUGUGCAGAUUCACUCAUUGUCACUUUGGGCUCUGCAUGAUGUCACUGAGAGUGGAUAUCACUAAUGGAUACAUACAUACCAUCAUCCACUCACUUUCCUCAUGUGAAAUCAAACACAUUGUUCCAGUCUCGCCAUCCAUCCAUCCAUCCAUCCAUCCAUCCUUCCUUCAGCUUAUACAUUUCAGGAUCGUGGGGUGGCUGGAGACUAUUCCAGCUACAAUGGGGGACAGAUCUGUCACGGAACAAGCCUAGACAUCCAACUUUAAAUGUAUUCUGCAGCUAUAUAAACCAGUCACUUCCAAUGUGUAAUACAGCCAUCUCAGACUCAUCCCUCUGACCACGGGAACAGAGGUCCAGCCCACCUGUUUUUGAGAACAAGCCAAUCAGAAGAGAUUUAGCUUAAAGGGAGAGAGCUAAAAUGAGCUUUUAACUUUUAACUAUCAGUGCAUUCUGACAAAAUCCAAGGAUAAAAAUGUGCAGAUGGAAAUGAGCAUAACAGGCUUCAAGUAAUCUUAAACCUUAAAAUAACAACAUGAGAAGAAACCAGAGCUGCUAUCAUACAUAUCAUACAUAGUUGCUGCGUGCUUGCAUUUUGUUUUUGUUUUGUUU